UACGUAGGCAGCGAGCGUUGUUCGGAAUUACUGGGCGUAAAGAGUGCGUAGGCGGUGCCUCAAGUUUGGUGUGAAAUCUCCCGGCUCAACCGGGAGGGUGCGCCGAAAACUGAGGUGCUCGAGUGUGGGAGAGGUAGGCGGAAUUCCUGGUGUAGCGGUGAAAUGCGUAGAUAUCAGGAGGAACACCGGCGGUGUAGACGGCUUACUGGACCAUAACUGACGCUGAGGCACGAAAGUGUGGGGAGCAAACAGG
rnacentral:rRNA from 1 species